AGGGCAGCUCCCCUGGGCUCCUCCCCGGCCCCUCACCCGAUUGGUCGGAGGAGGGAGGGCACCGCCCGCGGGCGCUACCGCCUCGCCCGCAGCAGCCGCCGCGCAGCGAGCAUCGCCACAGGCGGGCUGGGCUUCGGGUUGUGCGGAGCCGCGCCUGGGACACGCUGGAUGGAUCCUUGGGCUCCGGGGGCCUGAUGAAAAUCUUAACCACAGAAAACACUUAAAAGCCGAAGAGGAAAGAAGAGGCUUAAAAUGAAACUGAAAAAGUUGAAGAAAUUCCACUUGCAACAUGAACAAUCAUCAGGUCACAAUGACAGUGUCACACACUUCAUAAACAGGUGCUGAUGGAAGUUAGAAGCUUGUUUGCACUGACGAGAGCCAGAUGCAGUGUAAGCAGAUCCACUGUGUGGCGUCUACCUACAGCCCUGCCAUUGUUUCUGAAUCAUGAUCUUCAAUACUGAUCUUGACUUCUUGGGAACAAAGAGAGCCAAUUAAAGAAAACUGUCUGGCAGUUUUGCAAUAUGGACAAAAUGUCCACGAGAAACUAGGAUGUAUCUACUACAUGCAUUUUCAGCAGAGAUGAAAAUCAAAACCUGCUUUUAGGACACCAGUGGGGAAAAUUUUUGUGCCUCCUAGCAUCAUGUCUUUUUUUGUAUGAGCAAUUUUAGUUUAUAUUGAAGAGUGGCAGCCUCUAAAACUCUGGUAGUAUAAUAUAAAGGCCAAAAUUUUAAAAUGUGGCUGUUUAAAUUUAAUCUCAAACCCUGGAAACAAUUAUGCAGGUGCUUAAUUGUAUAAGGUGAGAAGGCUGAUUGGAUCCAAUGUGCAUCAAGUUGAGCACCUGUGUAACUGUAGGAUGGGAGACUUUGGCACCAGAAUCCAUUUUUAGUCACCUAAGCAGGUGGCUUGAUUUCUAGCAGUGCUAAGCAUUUCAAUAGGAGUUGCUAGCCAUCCAUCAGGCCACAAGAACCUAAAUAUGGAUGUAAGUGCUCAACUUUGGCCAGCCAAGUCUGAGAAUCUCCCCGUGCUGUGAAGGGCUGCGUACUCUCAGCUCCCACUGAAGACUCCAAGGGUUUGUCUAUGCUGCAAAAAAUACAACAAAAAUCCUGUGGCAGCAAGUUUCAGAGCCUGGGUCAAUUGACUUCAGCUUAUGCUACGGGACUAAAAUAGCAGUGUAGACAUUCCUGCUUGGGCUCUAAACGCAUCCUGCCCCGGGCCCUGCUGCAUCAGAGCCACAGCGGGAACAUCAACAUUGCUAUUUUAGUCUUGUAGCAUAAGCGCCAUGUGACUGAAUCAGUUAACCCAGGCUCUGAGACUCACUGCUGCAGGGUUUUGUUUUUGCAGUGUUGAUGUACCCUAAGGUAUAUCUUCACUGACAAGUUAACCCCGCAGAUUGGGACCUAGGUCUCAGCACCCAGGUUAGCCAAGGCUAGGCAACCCUCCCCAGAGUGAAGCCCUACUCACCUGAUCAUGUGCUCGCCAUUUCUGCACUUGCCCAUGUGUGUCUGGGGGCGUAUCCCUGCUUCUUUGUUCUGAGAUGCUCUAGGAUUUUUUCCAGUCAAUUGCGGGAUAACUUGUCCGUUCAUCUAGGUGAACUGUGGGAAGGCAUUGGAGGACUAGCAACACUUGAGUGACAUUUCCUGCAUCCUCACAAGAAAGUGGGAAGGUUCCAGCCCAAGUUAAACUGGAGCCCCUUUUCUAACCUAUACCCCCCAGCCAAAUAAGCCACUCAGGCUUAAAGCACCUCCAGUCAUGGGUCAGAGGUUUUUUUUGUAUGGAUGGUAAGGGAGCGAAGACUUACCUUAUGCGCUCAAUAACUCUCAUGAAUUGCUCAGCAUUUUGAAAAGAUCAGGCCCCUGACAUGUAAAUUUGGCUUAUGGAAAUUUUAUUUUCCCUUUUGUUUUUAAUUUUUGUAGGGCUAGUUCUGAUAUAUUAACAUAUUUUUCCUUUCUGGCAUAUAUAUCAAAAGUUAUUUAUUUUUAGAAAAACACAUACAACACUGAUACAGAAUAUUACUAGAGUUGAACCUAUGUGCUGAAAUACAAUUGUUAUAUAAUGUAAAAAUAACAGAGUAUGGAGAUGCUACUCUGAAUCAGAUCUUAUGUAAUAGUCUUUCUUUGGUUCAUCAAAAGGCAAGAAAAGUGCAUUUAAAGAGUAACUAGAAAACUCAGAAAAGAAGCUGGGAAACUUUGUGCAACAUUCUCAAUGGAUACAGCAUUGUAAGUAGGUAAACAUCUUAACUUCAAAACCCAUAGUAUGUUCACCAUUCAUCAUUUUUCUUGCCAGAACAAGAUAUUUAGUUUAGUGGUAUAAAGGAUUUUCCAGAAUCUACCUAUCUAAAAAAGUAAUUUCUGGUAUAGAUCCUUGACACCUACUCCAGCAGAUCUGGUGAGUUGGGGAUUCCCCCAAUGAGGUGACAAUGCCAUCUCAUUGCAGGUUCCUUCUCACUCCUCCUAAGGUAGCAUAGAAAGCCAGCCAAACCCUGCACAGAGGAGCAAGCAUGGCUUGCUGCAUUCCAGUAAUUUUUUCUGGGGUGAGAAUCCUCUGGAAGUUUGUUACCAGCUGGCAGAAUUUAAUGCAAUUCCAAGGCUUUUCUAAAUUAUCCCCAAGUCCGAAUCUGCUCACAACAGUCCCAGGCCACCUUUAAACCACUGUUGCCUCCUCUUCCACAGCAGCUCUGAGUAGCUGGGGAUCUGUCCCUCUAUCUUUAAAUAUGGACAAACACCUAUUAGAUUAAACAGAACAUGAGCCACAGAGGAAGUGUGUGAUUGUCAUCUGAAUGAAAUGUACACACACAAGACAGGUACAUUUGCAUAACACCCACAUUUUGAAUUUCCUUUUGCCUACAUAGGGUCAAUAGUGUGUUACAGAGCACCUUGUCACUUGUGUUAUUUUUUGCUCAUGUCUGUGGCGUUUUUUUACACUGUGAUGAGAGUAAAUUUAUCUCUAUUUGAAAUUGAUUUUUGUGACUGCAGCUGUACUCCUUUUCGCUUCUUAAGAAAGAUAAAGAAACCCCCCCACAACCAAAUGUCUUUUAAAAAAGCCAUAAAAUGAAAUUGGAAAAAGUAUCUAUAUAUGUUAGCAGUUAAGGUUGCAUUCCUUUAGCGAACUGGCCUCUGUCAAUUUGCAUGGAACUGUGUGGAGUAGAUUAGAUUAUCCCUUUGCUCAGCUGCAGCUCCCAGAUCUAUAUGUAAACAAAGGUACCUUUGAAAACAUAAUGUAUGAUUUGUUAGGUUUGACAAUGGUUGUGUUUCUUUCAGAUGACAGCAGCAGAUAUAUUAUUGUAAUGAACUAACAAUAAUAAUACUUAGCAUUUAACAGAACUUCUUCCCAUUUCAAAGUGCUGUGCAAAAUAUUAACUCAUUAAUGAUGCACACUAGAUAUAUCAGUCACCGUCCAUGCUGACGAACACAUGAAGGGACAAAUUCUCUUGCGGCAUAAUCUGUUGUAGACCCAUUAAUGUCAAUGAAUGUGGGUUUGUUUUUUGUUUUUUUAUAAUGGCUUGUUUUCAUGAGGGAUGUUAGUGUGAAAUGUGUACAUUAAUAGCUGAAAAAAUGUCAUGAUGUGUUUUUCCCAGUAUAUUUUAAAUUGA